rnacentral:tRNA from 1 species
UGUAGAUUAGCUCAGUUGGUAGAGCACUGGACCGAUAAUCCAGCGGUCGAUGGUUCGAGCCCAUCAUCUACAACCA